UACGAAGGGGGCUAGCGUUGCUCGGAAUGACUGGGCGUAAAGGGCGCGUAGGCGGCUAGAUAAGUCCGGUGUGAAAGUCACAGGCUCAACCUGUGAAUGCCGCUGGAAACUGUCUGGCUAGAGUCCGGAAGGGGCGAGUGGAAUUCCUGGUGUAGCGGUGAAAUGCGCAGAUAUCAGGAGGAACACCAAUGGCGAAGGCAGCUCGCUGGGACGGUACUGACGCUGAGGCGCGAAAGCGUGGGGAGCAAACAGG
rnacentral:rRNA from 1 species